rnacentral:rRNA from 1 species
UACGUAGGGGGCAAGCGUUGUCCGGAUUUACUGGGCGUAAAGAGCGUGUAGGCGGCCAAGCAGGUCCGUUGUGAAAACUGGAGGCUUAACCUCCAGACGUCGACGGAAACCGCGUGGCUAGAGUCCGGAAGAGGAGAGUGGAAUUCCUGGUGUAGCGGUGAAAUUCGUAGAUAUUCGCAAGAACACCAGUGGCGAAGGCGGCUCACUGGCCCGUAACUGACGCUGAGGCACGAAAGCGUGGGGAGCAAACAGG